CGGAGGAGGUCCAAGAUUGUCUAACCUCACGGCUUCUGGGAAUGCGAUCAAGGGUGAACUGGAAGAGAGCACGAUAAAGCUAAGUGUUGAAAUGACUGCAUUAGUGUGAUGACAAAAGACAGAAAAACAAACAUGCCCCCUGCUCUCCAUGCAGCAGGAUUCUCUCUCUUUUUCAAAGUUCUUAGUUCUGGAAAAUAUACUUCCUUGACAAGAAGAGGAAGAGGAUGACUGUGGAUUGAAGCUGUCAGAAUCUUCCCCUUUGUUGACUCAAAACUACAAGAAGCCACUAGCACAUUAUUUUUAAACGCAUAUGAUGCAUACGUAUUCCAGUACUCAGUGCCAAAACAUGUAUUGGCUGAGAGCAUACUCUGAAAGUUAGCAAAUAUAUGUGAUAGGCACGUGACCUUUGCUUUCCAAAUUCAUCUUCUAUUUUUGCGCUGAAUGUUUUUCCUCAGUGGAAAAAGAAUGGCCAAAAUAAAGCGAGCAUCUGCUGUGCAGACAGCAAAAUCAGAUGCAGCCAAGUAUGUUCCUCUGGCUUCCAGUGCUCAAGGAAAAUAUAACUACAUGAUGUGUUAGCAGUUGAAGGGAGUCAGAACGUGAAGUUGCUUAGCAAAACUAAGUGUACUAGUGGAAAAAAUGCACAACCUUUUAAAACUCAAAAUAUUUUUAAGAAAUGUAAUGACCUGGGUUUGGACGUUUUUCAGGUAUUGCUGAAUUGGGAGUUCAGCAUCCACUCAGGUGAUCAGUCAGAAAGCUACUGGCAGUAAAAUGCAUUACUUUCUUUUUAAACACCUCUCUAACUAAUGCUCGGUUUUAAAACCACAUCAAAUCACAGUUUAGAAACACACAAGAGGAAUAUAAUUCCAAUUUUUUUUUUUUUUUUU